rnacentral:rRNA from 1 species
AUUGAACGCUGGCGGAAUGCUUUACACAUGCAAGUCGAACGGCAGCACGGGGCAACCUGGUGGCGAGUGGCGAACGGGUGAGUAAUACAUCGGAACGUGCCCAAUCGUGGGGGAUAAUGUAGCGAAAGUUACGCUAAUACCGCAUACGAUCUACGGAUGAAAGCGGGGGAUCGCAAGACCUCGCGCGAAUGGAGCGGCCGAUGUCAGAUUAGGUAGUUGGUGGGGUAAAGGCUCACCAAGCCAACGAUCUGUAGCUGGUCUGAGAGGACGACCAGCCACACUGGGACUGAGACACGGCCCAGACUCCGACGGGAGGCAGCAGUGGGGAAUUCUGGACAAUGGGCGCAAGCCUGAUCCAGCCAUUCCGCGUGCAGGAUGAAGGCCUUCGGGUUGUAAACUGCUUUUGUACGGAACGAAACGGCUCUCUCUAAUACAGGGUGCUAAUGACGGUACCGUAAGAAUAAGCACCGGCUAACUACGUGCCAGCAGCCGCAGUAA